UCUGCCGAUCCGAGAGGCGAGCUGAAUGUGGGGGAUUCUGAAGCGAGAAGCGGAGCAAGCUGCCCAGAGAUUUUAACGUGUUGAGAGGCACACUUAGUCGAGAGGCGAGGAGCGGCUCUCUCUCUCAACGGCUACAGGGCUUUCGUUUCCCAAGGGUCUUGAGGCUCGUGAGCUGGAUGAAGUGGAGGCUAGGUCUCUCCGACUUGAAGGAAACAGAUUGUUUUAUGAGGGCAGCUACCUUCUGGCAUGCCAGAAAUACAGCCUGUGCAUGCAAGGGCUUUAAUCACGAGUGAAGGAGUUUUCCUGGCUGCAUCUAACAGGGACACCUUUCGUUCAAGAAUGUAGCUCCGAGGCAUUCCUGAGGCUGAGGAAGCACUCGCAGAUUGCAAUAUGGUGCUGGAGGCAAAUCCACUACAUGAAAAGUGUCUCUUCAGAAAAGCGGCCGCUCUCAGUGCAUUUGGCGUACAUCGUGAAGCUCUCCGCUGUCUGGAGCGGGCUCUUCUGCAUGCAAUUGCUUCAUCAAGAAAGGCUGAGUAUAGCGAGAUGUUCGAAGUUCCUAGAGCAGUCAGAGAAGGGUGUUUACGACUUGGAGGACUACAUAUGGAACAACUGCAAGUUCAAAAUGGCUCCAGAGUCUAGCGAUUAUGCUGGACAUGUCGAGAUCAAACUCACACCAAAUGGCUAUGGAUGGAGUUUAUACCUUACUAAAGAUAUUGAA